UACGUAGGGUGCAAGCGUUGUUCGGAAUUACUGGGCGUAAAGCGCGCGCAGGCGGGCUUAUAAGUCGAUUGUGAAAUCCCCGGGCUCAACCUGGGAAUUGCAGUCGAAACUGUAAGUCUUGAGUGCCUAAGAGGAUGGCGGAAUUCCCGGUGUAGUAGUGAAAUACGUAGAUAUCGGGAAGAACACCUGAGGCGAAGGCGGCUAUCUGGUGGUGCACUGACGCUGAGGCGCGAAAGCGUGGGGAGCAAACAGG
rnacentral:rRNA from 1 species